ensembl:lncRNA
UUUCUCACCUUUUUUGUCACCUUACAGAACUGUUUCGGUUUCGUUUCAUUAUCUUUGUUAUUUUGUUUAGUGUUCUGAGUUUAAAUUAAUAUGAACACUUACCACGCUGCGAUUUGGUCCUCCUCUCCUUCCACCAACAAUGGCUGUUACAAAUAUAUGAUUACAUAAAUCAAUAUUUUGUCACAUAUAUGCCGGGAGUCAGGAAGCAAAUGCAGAAGCUCUGCCUUGGGGCGGCAAUACUCUCCCGGCUGUACCCAGGGUCCCUUGCCAUCCAGGAUCUCUUCCCAUGUCCAGGAGUCUGGAGAUCGCUGCUGCUGCCUGUUACCACGCUGCUUGGUCCUUUGGUGGUGGGUGAUUCUGUAACGGUCUUCUUCUCUGACGAGGAAGAGUAGUAGGAAGGAUCGGAGGACCAAUGCACAGCGUGAGCCAUAUUGAAAAGGUCUCACUUCCCUGUCCUUUUGUACUCUUGAAACAUUGUGCUCUGUCCAGAGAACAACCCUGUAUUUAACCUACCUUAAGUGCUUUUAAGUGCUUUUCCAGACUGUUUUACGAAGAAAUCCAGAAUGAGUCUAGGGUGACUGUGACAUGGUGUUUGGAUAAGAG